CGCCUCCUUCAGGACGCCAGAGCCAACUUUGCUCACAGACGCGCCAGUGUUCCCAGAGACGUGGGGUGUAAACUCCCAACCCUGGCCUAAGGAAAAAAUAACAGCCCCGUGCUGUGGAAUAAAGUCACCUUCCAGGAAAAGGGCUGGGGUGUCUAAAGGGAGAGCAAUCCCCGGUGCCUCGUGACAAGGUUUUCCUUUGGGGUGAAUGACGCAUCCCUUAUGAGAAAACAAGUUAGAGCACCCACCUACUGUGUCUCCCCUUUGGCGGUGAAGUCUCAACUUAUAUGAACUCAUGAAUGGCCCCAGGCAACCACGGUGCUGGUGCAGUCUUUAAAAGCUUUCUUGUUUGAGGUCAAUGGCAGUGUUGGCCAGGACGGAUUCAUCUGUGCAAGCCAUCUGUGGGAGACAGUUUCCCAUUAGGUCAUACACCCUGAGUGCAGAAAUCAGAAUAGUGUUGUGCGGCAACAACAAAAGGGGGUGGCUUUUUCAGUGUGGGAAAUAUUUAACAGAGAAUAUUACGUUAUUAUCACCUAAAACAGGUGCAUUCUUGCCUGCAAUGCUCUACGAGGCUCGGGCAUGUCCAGCCACUUACCACUGCGACACAAUAAUGCCGUCUACAACAUUUGCACAGAGACUGAAAUAAAAACACCUACACCUCUCAGUGUUUUAAGGCAGUUUAUGAUUUUGUGCUAGUCUGCAUGUAGAGCUACCCUUGGCUACAUAUGGGAGCAGUUCCUGAGUUGGAGAGGCUUGGGAGAAACGAAAGCAGGGGUACCGGAAGAAGGCAGAAGGGCUGCUGGCCAGACAAAGGCUGUUAGGGGAAAUGGCGAAACCCUAAGAUGAGCACAGACUUGUUCUUCAGAUCCUGAAAUGCAGCAGCCUCUGAGAAAGGCAAGUUCAGGACAAGUUGGUGGGAAUACUCCUUCACACAGUGGAUAAUGAAUUUGUGGAAUGGAUUAUCUCCCAGAGGUGGCUAAAGCUGGCAACGUAAGUGGAUUUCGGAAAGCUUUGGACAGAGGUGUGAAUGACAGAACUAUAAAAGAGAGAUGAGGAAAGCUGAGUAGACCUAGUGCCACAAACAAACUUCCUGUCCCCAGGCUGGCUCUUUCAUAACAGAUGUAAAACUCUGUGCUUGAGAUAAAAAAUAAAAUCUGAGUGCUGGAAUGGAAAGAACUCAUGAGACCCGGAAGAACAUUCUAGAGUCAUCUCACUGAUUUGGCCAACAUUGUGGGACCUCGU
rnacentral:lncRNA from 1 species